rnacentral:lncRNA from 1 species
UCCAACUAUUGAAAUUCAGUUCCUGUUCUUAAGAUUUUUGCCAACAUUUCAUUAAUCAAUAAUCAUCCUCAUCUUCGUCAAUUAUAACAUUAGAAACUUGACAAUCUUGUUUUGGCAAAUUUGCAUCAACUUUUGUAGUUGAAUCAUCAUCUUCAUCUGCAAUCCACAAGUAACAAAUAACAAAGAUCAAUAAAUAGUUAGAAAAAAUCUAUUUUGCAU